rnacentral:sRNA from 1 species
UAAUUGACUUUUUGACUUUGAACCGCUUUUGUGUGCGCGGAUCGU